rnacentral:rRNA from 1 species
AGAGUUUGAUCAUGGCUCAGGAUGAACGCUGGCGGCGUGCUUAACACAUGCAAGUCGAGCGAAGCGCCUGAUCUGAUUUCUUCGGAUUGAAGAGAGGGAUGACUGAGCGGCGGACGGGUGAGUAACGCGUGGGGAACCUGCCUCAUACAGGGGGAUAACAGUUAGAAAUGGCUGCUAAUACCGCAUAAGCGCACAGAAGGGCAUCCUUCAGUGUGAAAAACUCCGGUGGCAUGAGAUGGACCCGCGUCGGAUUAGCCAGUUGGCGGGGUAACGGCCCACCAAAGCGACGAUCCGUAGCCGGCCUGAGAGGGCGACCGGCCACAUUGGGACUGAGACACGGCCCAAACUCCUACGGGAGGCAGCAGUGGGGAAUAUCGCACAAUGGGGGAAACCCUGAUGCAGCGACGCCGCGUGAGUGAUGACGUAUUUCGGUAUGUAAAGCUCUAUCAGCAGGGAAGAAGACGACGGUACCUGACUAAGAAGCCCCGGCUAACUACGUGCCAGCAGCCGCGGUAAUACGUAGGGGGCAAGCGUUAUCCGGAUUUACUGGGUGUAAAGGGAGCGUAGACGGCAGUGCAAGUCUGAAGUGAAAAUCCGGG